UGAGACCGGCGCACGGGUGCGUAACGCGUAUGACCUACCUUCCACAGGGGAAUAGCCCAGAGAAAUUUGGAUUAAUGCCCCCAUGGCACAGAGACGGCAUCGUCUUGCUGUUAAAGUAACAACGGUGGAAGAUGGGCAUGCGUCCCAUGCUAGUUGGUAAGGUAACGGCUUACCAAGGCUAUGAUGGGUAGGGGUCCUGAGAGGGAUCCCCCACACUGGUACUGAGACACGGACCAGACUCCUACGGGAGGCAGCAGUGAGGAAUUGGUCAAUGGUCGCAAGACUGAACCAGCCAUGCCGCGUGCAGGAUGACGGUCCUAUGUUGUAAACUGCUUUUGUACGGGAAGAAACACUCCUACGUGUAGGGGCUUGACGGUACCAAGAAUAAGGAUCGGCUAACUCCGUGCCAGCAGCCGCGGUAAUACGGAGGAUCCAAGCUAUCCGGAAUCAUUGGGUUUAAAGGGUCCGUAGGCGGCCCUGUAAGUCAGCGGUGAAAUUCCAGCUCAACUGGGAAACUGCCGUUGAUACUGCAGGGCUUGAAUUGCCGGGAAGUAUAGAAUAUGUAGUGUAGCGGUGAAAUGCUUAGAUAUUACAUGGAAUACCGAUUGCGAACAGGUUACUACCGGCAUAUUGACGCUGAUGGACGAAAGCGUGGGGAGCGAACAGGAUUAUACCCUGGUAGUCCACGCCGUAAACGAUGGAUACUAGCUGUUCGGCGCAAGCUGAGU
rnacentral:rRNA from 1 species